GAACUCUGGUUGCUCAAUUAUCAGAUUCUUAACAAUAUUGAUCUUGUUUUCUCGUUCUUUGUAGGGAUGAAAAGCUUUGAUUUGUCUGUGAUGUAGAGAUUGCACUAACUUCUUAUUUCAUAAAUCAUUUGUGGCAGAAAACUACAGUUUCUUAAUGUCAUAUGCUUCCUUGCAUCAUUUAAAACUUUAGUUCCAAGGUAGACCUCAAGCUGUCCAAACAGGCCUACCAAUUUGGAUGUUAUGGUUUUGAGAAAGGAGUGACGGCAUUUGUAGGGUGAAUUGCCUGUUUUGUUGUCCUGGGGGCCAGUUUGCUUUCUAUCUCUUGGUUAGCACUUGCAAGUUUUGACAUAUAUCAGUGGAAUAGUAUUUCUCAUCUCAACAUAUGUGCCCUUCUCCUUUGUUGACUGGACUUCUGAUGAGAAAUCAAUUUCAGAAGUGGCAUAUUCAUGUCUCUAUACUUAAUGGUUCUACUUACCUAGUUGUUGAGAGCCAAACUAAUAUGAUGUUUACGUAUGAGUGUCUUCUGUUGGUUUUUACUCUCCAUUUACAAUAGAAGAAUAGGUUAACUUCUUAAGCUCAGCAGGUGUUAGGAAAAUCAUGAUUGAGGUCGUAAAGAAUCCAUUGGCUAAGAGGAAAAGUGGUGCUACUGAAUUAUUGUGGCAUGUGAUAAGAGGUUCGUCAUCAACAUUGCAUUCAAGGGCCCCACAAGUGUUGCAGCUUCUAUUGGACAAGUCCUUAUUCAGCAUCGGUGAUCAACUCUUGGAAGGUGACAUUUUCAGCCUUCGCAUGUUAUUCAUAUUUUUCAGUAAUGUAUUGUCACUUCAUAUGCUUGAAUCCUGCUUCCUUUGGAGCUAUUCAAUACUAUUCUGAAUAUGCUUUCUAUAUAUUGUGUGCUAUGCUAAUGCAUCUCUUAGUAUGGAUAUUGGUACUGAUAGAAAUAAUACUAGUGCAUAUGAUAUAGUGCACUUAAAGAGUCAUUUUUGUUUAGGAUUCCUAGAUCACUAUAAGCAACUCAUUAUUGUCUAAUUUACCUGCAUCUAGAAUUGCGUGCAUUUUUUUUAUUAGUUGUUUGAUUUAAUAUUCCAAUAGUCUUUCAUGAACUUUUGAAAUGUGAUGUUAUUGCUUCAGAAAUGCUGUUUAGUUACUCCAAUAGAUUGAUACUUAUGUACCCAUUUUACUUGAAAGGAACACGUUUCCAAUUACUUUUACACCUGUAUAUUAAAUGCCUUUAGAUAAUCCUGAUUGAAAGUGAAGAUCCUUCUAGACUGCAAAAGAUAGGAAGCUGUCCCCCUCAAAGGGGAAAAUAUUAAAAGGUGAAGCGGAAUCUAUUGGUUGUAAAAAUGAUACAGUAGAAUGGCUUUAUGAAUUCUUGGCUGAAAGGUGUCGUCAACUGUUCUCUGUGAAGACUCCAGUGAAUAUUUAUGUGUUAAAGAUGGUUUAGUCUUGCUCAGGUGGGCAUCCAAUAAGUUUGCUCCUGUCAUAUCUAAGAUUGUGGCAGUGUGAAGAGCACUGAAUAAUAAAACUAUGGAGGUUGAUUACUUUUUCUUUAUGUGGAUAGGAUAUUCUGUUAUCAGUGUGGGCAUCAUCGUGAAGUGUUAUAUGCUGCGUUUCAUAUAUUCAUGUUAUAUGAGAUUUUUUACUAUUUGCUUAGGUUAUAUGCUCUGGCAUGUUCUGUAGUUUCAAUUUUCUUGUCCCCCAAGUUCUUGUGUCGGUUUACUUCUCGUGAAAAAAGGAAGUUCGGUUAUUUCCAGACUUUUAUUUAUUGAAUCAUUUGUUUAUUUAUUUUUAGUUCUUCUCGAAUUUAGAUGCAUGACCUUGUUCUCAGAGCACAACUUAAUUGUGUGAAGUCAAAUGGUGUAGCUAUGCAACUCCUUUACUUGAGGUCAUUACUGCAGUUCACAUGAGUGAUCAAUUUUCUUUGAUAUUUCUAUUAACUGAUGGACUUAAAUCGUUUGAAAACCAAUCUAUUUGGCAAAGUGUUACCUGAGAUCAUGCUGAUGUCAUGUUCAUUAUCAAUUUUGGUGUCAAGAAUUUGAACCCUGAUUUGCUAUGAUUCAUGUUGGGUUAACAUUUUGAUUGGGUAUGAGUGUAAUCCCGAUGUUCUUUUCAACCAGGCAAUCUAAUAAUGUGACACUACAGUGCAUCCUUGGUAUCAGGUUGUCUUAUGAUUCAAAUAAAUGUUAUGUGACUCGUAGUUUUCUGCAUUUCAUGUUUUUUAACUGAUCCAUCUCUCAAAGUUUGUUAGGUUCCUGAAAUUCAUCUAGAUCAAGUGAUUUUACAAUUUAUUUUCCUUUUUACUUGACUUCCAGUUAUUGUUAUUUAUGUCUCGUAUCUCUUUCUUGAUAUUUACAUUUUGCAGAUCCAGACUGCCUUCUUGAAAUUGUCAUAUCGACUUUCCAGAGAUUGAGCAAUGAGGCAGGGCCUGUGGAAUUAAAUUUGAUUUGGGAUUGCUUAUAUGGUGAAAUAAUUGAAUCAGUAACCAAUGGUCACUCAAUGCACGUCAGUCGACUUCUCUCCGUACUCGUAUUAAUUGUGGAGAAUGGUUUUAUGAAGAAAAUUUCCGGUGCAGUACAAUUUGCUUUAUGGUUUUAUCUUGUUCUGUUCUACUGCUUCUUUGCGGUGCUUACUCUUUUCUCUGAGGCUACUCCAUUUUAUCGUGCAGAUUACCAGCCUAUGUUUAAGCUAGUCAGGUUGCUAGUGCAGACAUAUGUUCCUCCUGUUACUGAGGAGGGUGGAAAACAAGCUACAGACAUCGUCAUUAAAAUCUUGCAGCUGUCAUUGUUCAUUGUUGAUGGCCUCCACAAAGCUAAUGACCUGUCAGCUCUCUCUGAUUUUUCAUGUCAGUUGGUUCCCAUAUUUAGUUUGAAGAAUCCUGGGUAAUCCUUUUAAUAUUAUCAGAUUAGUACUUCUAGUGCUAUUUAUUUCAUCUAAAGAGCUCUCUGUCUGACAAUCCUGACUUGGUUACAGUUUGCUGACUUUUCUUAAAGACCUUGUGUCAAGGGACUCCAAUGUUCUCAAAAUAUUCAGGAUUAAUAUUAUAAGGUAUUACUCAUGCAUCUUCUGAAUAAUUUAGUGAAUCUUGUAUUUUGUGUUCUUGCUUAUUCAUAGACUUGAGUUAAUGAUGAUUGAGAAGCUUAUAUUUAGUUGAUUCUGACAUGGUGCAACUGGAUUUCAGUGCAUUGAAUGAUUUAACCAACAUUUCAGAAGAAGAAACUGUAUAUUUGCUGCUAAGAUUGUGUGAGAAUCUUAAAAUGCCAAGCUUCUCAUUCUUAGAUGGUAUCUCAAAAGACAAGCUUUCAAGAAUUUAUGAUUUGGUUCAGCAAAGCAUCAGUUACUGGAUAGGAAUGAUCAGUAAUUCGUUACAUGGAGAUUUAUCUUCUCUUCAGUUGGAACAGAGCAGGCUGGCUCUCCUGUGGGGGACUGUCAAAUGCUAUCCCUAUUUGUUCAAUGGCCAGGAGAAUCUGACAUUACUAUUGGACCUUUUAAAUGCUAUCGAUGAGCUUCUGAUGACUGAAUCUGGUAUAAAUUUUCUUCUAUUGUUCAUUUCCAUUUAUUCAACGCCAAUGAGAGAUUCAAUGGUGCAUGACAUCACUUUAAUUCUUGUGCAUUUUCAGUGUAAAACAAUCUUUGUACAAGCACAUUUAGACUUAUGCCAUGCCACAUGUUUUAAGAUCAGAUAUAUAUAUGUCAAACUUCUAAACCUACUCAUGUAGGUAUUUUUGUGCAGGAAAUGUAUACAAAUAAUACCGUGGAUUUAGUCCUUAAGAGAUGGUUCUGUUUUAAAUAAUAGACCUCUAUCGGUUUUAUCCUAAUUAUGUUGUGCCACAUGAUUAAUCACAGGAAGAAUAAAAUUAUUGGUAACUGAAUUACCUGGGAUGUGUUAGGAAAUGGAAUCUCUUUCUAUUCUAUAGAGUUGGAAGAAUUAGGUCUGCUAUCAAUGAUAUUUUGAAAAUUUUCACUUGACAGGAUUGGCAGAUCUUACUUGGCAGAGCCUAAUUGCUGCUGCUUUGGGUUCUUAUAAAGAAAUGCUCUCCAGCAGUGGAACUGGAUGUGAAGAGUCUGCAAUAAGCAAAUUCCUGUAUCUGGCAAAAAAAUACCACUCAUCUUCUCAAAUAUUAGCCCCCAUAGCUGAUAUUUUGGAUUCACAUUUUGGGUAAGCCUAAGUGUACUUUGAAUAUUUAUUUCUCCAUAACACCCGCUUUUGUUUCAUCCUACCAGUUAGCAGUGGCAUAAAUUAGCUGAUUCUAAUUUUUUUUUAAUCCUCUAAAGGCUACUUUUGUGGUCUUGUUUGCUUUUGACUUCUGCUUUUGGCUUAUUUUGGAGGUAAAAGUUGUUUUGCAAAGCAUCACAGGAGGUGCUACUGGAAGGAACUAUUUCCUUUGAAGACCUUUACUACCAUAAUUCCACUUUUAGACUUAAUGAGUUUUGGGCAGCACUUUGCCUAAAGCAACUUUAAGGAUAUGAAGAAAAGAAGAAUAGGCCCAUAAUUUCUAAUACCUUGCUAUUUCUCUUUUGGAUUUAUAAAGUCUUCAGCUUUUCUUAACUUUGUUUAAUUUGCAAUGAAGAUCUGUGAUUAAAGGGUGCACCAGCUUUAGAAGAUAUCACCCAGAUCUUGCAGCCAGGAAUGUAAUCGAUGCAUUAGACAUAUUGGCUGAAAAUCUGUGCAACUGUGAUCAAAUGCUUCGACGGUCGACCCUCAGAAUUUUGUGCCACUAUGAACCUUUGAAGUUUGAAUCUUCUUUUAACACACAGCCAGAUGAGAAAACUGCUGGAAAUGAUAUUAUGCAGACCUUUAAUGUUGAUGUUCGUGGUGAUAAUGUAUGAGCAGUUUUUCUGUUACUUCCUUUCUUAAUGUUGUCAGUAGGUUGACCCUAUGAUUACUUUGUGUGUCAGGUUCUAGAGCUUCUCCUUUCAGUUGAAACUACUGAGCCUUCAUCUACUGAUAGAAAAAUUGAGCUUCUAUUAUCCCGGAUCCAGGUGAAUGUAUCUGCCCGGAGGAUAGAUGAGAAUUAUGUGCCAGCCCUGUUAUAUGGCUUGAUUGGCAUCUUCCACAUUCGGCUUAGCAACUUAUGGAUUCCAGCUAAGGAGUGUCUUGCUGUUCUAAUAAGCCAAAACUUUGGAAUUGUAUGGGAACCGUACAUGAAAUAUCUGGACCACUGUCAGUCAUUGUUUCUGAUAUCUUGUGAUCAAUCUAGCAGAAGUGGUACCAAAUCACUUAAUCAGUCAAGUGGUAUGCGACAGACAGUAUUAUACUUACUCUAGGAGCUAAUGUUAUGCUAUGAUCUUUGCUAGGAGCAAUCCUUGUUUCCUUUUCAUUUUAAUAUGGAAAUUUAAAUUUUUGAAGAUGAUGGCUUACUGGUGAUUGUUACUUACAACAGAACAUGUUUGUUUUGAGUUUUUGUUGUCUUGAUCUGAGAUGUUCCUCUUUUCCUGCUUCCCAUUUGUGGCUGUAAAUUAUAGGCGUUGUUCAUUAGCCUUGUAUUUCUCUCAGAUUUGGUUGGAUACUUCAAUUUGUCUAUCAAUCCCCCAUGUGGUAGUACGCCGUGCGCUACACUUUUCUCGUUAAUGAUUCAAUCGCUGCAAAAAGUUCCAUUUCUAGCUGAAACUCGGUCACGACAAUUAAUGCCUUUUUUCUUGAAGUUUCUGGGAUAUAGUGUUGAUGAUCUUUUGAGGUAACCAUUUAUUGGGCUUUAUGCAAGACUACUUGGGAUAUACUCAUUUCCUGUUCUCUUCCAGAUUGCUUUUUUAAGCUUUUGUUUGAUUCGUUGGUUUGAUGAUGCAGUGUUGAGUUAUACAAUGUACAUUGUUGCAAGGGCAGAGAGUGGAAGGAGGCCCUUAAAGAGUUGUUAAACUUGUUUAGGUUGCUGCGGAAUCCAAAGUCUUUUUAUCAGAGCCAAUUCAUCAAGGAUGUUUUUCUAUAUAGGUUUAUACCUAUUCAAAAUUUCUUUUAGAGCUUGCUGGAUUUGUAUUGUUUACUUUAUAUUUUUUUCACACUCAUGCUGUUUUUAUUGGGAUUUUCUAGGCUUCUGGAUGAAACAGAUACUGAGUUACAGUUAAAGGUUCUUGAUUGCCUUUUAAACUGGAAGGAUGAAUUCUUACUUCCUUACAGUCAGCAUCUGAAAGAUCUGAUCAAUGCAAAGAAUUUGAGAGAGGAGCUAACGACGUGGAGCUUGUCCAGGGAAUCUAAUGAAAUCGAUGAACAUCAUAGGGAUUUCAUUGUGCCUAUUGUCAUUCGGAUAUUGGUACCAAAAGUCAAGAAACUAAAAACUCUUGCUUCUCGAAAGGUAUUCUUGUUUGUUCUGGAAUGCUUAUUUUUUUUUUUUAACUGUUGUUACAUAUGUCAUUUGGUUUAAUGAUUUUUGUACUAUUUUUAACCCAGCAUGCAAGUGUACAUCAGAGAAGGGCAAUACUUGGAUUCUUAGCUGAGCUUGACAUUCAAGAGCUUCCUCUAUUUUUUUUCUUGUUGAUAAAGCCUCUUCAAGGUACUUCAGUAACAGCUGAUGUGAGCAGACAGUGUCUUUUGAGUUCAUCAGAGAGCAUUAAGGAUGAAUUUGAUUCAAUUAGCAUCUUGAAGCAAUUUACUGUGGAUGGCUUAAAGGGGCUUUCUUGGAAGAAGAAAUUUGGUUUCUUGCAUGUCAUUGAAGAGAUUUUAGCUGUUUUUGAUGAAUACCAUAUAAAUCCUUUUCUUAAUUUACUAAUGGGCUGUGUUGUACGGGUACUCGAAAGCUGCACGGCUGCUUUAGAGAGCUCAAAAUGCAAAGAACCGUCUCUAACAGAUUCUGGCUUCAAUGUGGCAGCAGCUUAUGAUAUUGUUGACAGGGAAAUAGAAAUUGUGGUAAGCUUGAAACUGUGCUUAACUAGUUCAGUUAGUAUGUUUAUUAAGAACUUUUUCCUUUGUACCUUAAUGCCUUAUUUGAACCUAAUUUAAAAACUUUUUCCUUUGUAUUUUAAUGCAGUAUUUGAACCUAAUAUUGGAAAAAUGAAUUUGAAAUUUGGUUACUAAUCUCUACCUCUGAACCAGUGGUGCAUAUAUGGGAGUUUUAGCAGGAUUAUUGUUAAUUGCAUUGCCAUCUAUAGUUUUCCAUUCAGGAACAAGAAAUGCUUCAGCUCAAUUUGUAAUUUUUUGUUAACUAUAUCUUUGUCCCCUAGCUGGGUUUGAGUAGAUUAAUCGUUGGAGAAUUAUGAAGGUAAUCCGUGAGAGUCGUUCUCACCUGUAAUCUUGGUUUGCAGACUAGCACAGCUGUGAAGCAAUUCAAGGAAUUGAGAUCUUUAUGCCUGAAGAUUGUUUCUUCUGCUCUUGCUAAGUAUGAGAAUCAUGAUUUUCAUUCCGAGUUUUGGGACCUUUUCUUUACAGCAGCGAGUCCUUUAAUAGGCAGUUUUAAGCAAGAAGGUGCGAGUAGUGAGAAGCCAAGUUCACUAUUCUCUUGCUUCCUUGCUAUCAGUAGAAGCAUCAAGUUUGUGCCACUGUUGGGUAGAAAGAAGAAUCUUGUUCCCGAUAUAUUUUCGAUGUUUACCAUCACGACCGCAUCUGAUGCGAUCAUAUCUUGUGUUUUUAAGUUCGUUGAAAACUUACUAAAUCUUGACAGUCAGCUGGGGACUGAGGAUGGUUCUGUCAAAAGAGUGUUGCUUCCUCACCUCAACGUACUUGUAGAUAGUCUACACUGUCUGUUCACUAUUGAUAGUGGAACAAAGAGGUACUACAGUUUGCCUAAUCCAUUUAUUAUUUGGGCAGGUAUUAUUAGUUGAUUCAUAAACCUGUGCUCUGAUUUGAUUUGCUUUUAGCUUCUAGGGAAAGGUCUCAGGUUUUUCAUGUUUAAGUGUCUUUUAGCAUGAUAGUUCUUUCUGUUUUCUUAUUACCUCUAUUUUGGUCGUAUUAAUGAACAAAUAGCUCUCUGUUAGUUGACAAAUAGCUGCUACCUAUCUUAAUGAUGCAUGCUAUGCAUUUUUGGACACCGGAUUUUGUUGUAACUACUGAUUUGAUAAAGAGCAUGAAUUUCUAUGCCAAUGCUUGAAAAAGGUUUUAUUUGGUGCUCUAAGCACCUAAUCUAGUUGCCACUGAUACAUUUGUCACUGAGUAGGAAAAGAACUACAAGAAAAUGUAUUUACACCGUAAAGUGGAAGAAGCUAAAGAAAUAACUUCUGUAGGGUAAUGUACUACUGCAGCUCGGGUGAUGAGCACUGAAACAUCAAUAGGAGAACCCUUGCUUCUAUGGUUAAAUAAAUUGAUGGUUAACCAGACACAAUUAAGUUGUAUAGAUUGCUUAGAUUUGCAUGUUAAACAGAUGAAACAAGUUCUAAUAUUUGAUAGAUCACUUUUUCUUUUGCCUAAUCAUGGGGUGGAUGCCGUUUGUUAUGUGGUCAGGCAUCCUGCAGAUAACGAGCUCUUUGUGUUCAAAUUAUUGUCGAAGUACAUAACGGAGCCUUUAACAGCCAAGAAAUUUGUUGAUAUCUUGCUUCCACUUCUCGCAAAGAGACUCCGAAACUCUGGUUGAAGAUUGCUUCUAACUUUUGCUUAUAAUUGCUUGAUGUAUUUUUGUUUCCUUACAACUUCCUAUUCUGACUACCAAUUUUUUCUUUAAAUUUCUCCUUGGCAGAUUCUUGUGUUGUCAUUUUACAGAUACUUCAAUCUGUGGUUGAAGUUGUGGGAAGUGAAAAUAAUUCUAAAAUUUUGAGUUCAGUAUCUCCCUUGCUUACAUUUGCUGGGCUGGAUGUCAGGAAGUCCAUUUGUGAUGUUCUUAAUGCUCUUGCUAAAGAUGAUUCUUCUGUCUUUGUCGUGGUAAUAUUUAUUUUUCUUUCUGGUUCAGUUACAAGGUUAUCAUUGUCUUUAGUAAACCCCCAGUUUCUUGUGUCUAGGCAAAGCUUCUGAAUGAAAUGAAUGCAACCUCCGCAAUGGAUAUUGGGUCCCUUGAUUAUGACACUAUAAUUGGUGCAUAUGAAAAGAUCAACAGGGAGUUUUUCCACACGGUGGGGAAAGAGCAUGCACUGAUCAUUUUGUCUCAGUCUGCAUAUGACAUGUCAUCUGAAGAGUUGAUCUUCCGGCAGAGUGCAUAUAGAUUGUUGCUCUGCUUUGUUGAAUUUGCCUCUGAAAUUGUUGAGUCAAAGGAUAAAUCUGAUCAAGGGUGCUGGACUGAAGCUCUUAUUCAACAUAUUGUAACUAGCUUUCUUUUGAAGCAUAUGGGAAAUGCAAUGAAUAGGGAAACUUCUGUUCAAAAGGUAUAAAGCUUUAAGUCAAAAGUUAAUUGUUUUUGGGGGUGCUUGUCUCUGUCUCUUUUCUUAAUAAGAUGGAAGUAUUUGUUUAAAAUAUUUGUGGGUUUGGUUUCAGCUUUGGAUUGAUUUACUGCGAGAAAUGGUGUUGAAGCUUCCAAAGGUUGCAAACCUCGAAUCUUAUGGAACUUUGUACAGUCAAGAUCCAGAGCAGGAUUUCUUCAAUAAUGUUAUUCAUUUACAGGUAAUUCAUGAGUUUGUUUUAACUGGGAAAUAUAUGCACGUCAGAGUUUAUUCUUGGUGUUGGGUUCUUGCGUCUUUCCUUUUCUGUUAUGAAAAUGAAUAGCUUUCCUUUGAUAGUAUGGCUAAAUUUCUUGUGUAUUACAUAUAUAUUUGAGUAAGAAUGUUGCAAAAACAGGGUGUCAAAUUUAAACGCACUUCUUAGGAGAAAAAUACAUGUUGCUAGUGCUGUUCCCCCCGCCCCCCUCCUUUUUUUUUGUGAAAGUUUAUGAGCAUAGGAAGAUACACAAGAUGAACACCAUAGAGGGGGUUCUAAGCUGUUAUUCUCUAUGCAUUCACUUCAACUGUUCUACCAUGUUCUUCCCUUCCUUAGUGUCUAAAGUAUAAAUAACUGAUUGAUGUCCUGUAUACUGUGUCUCUUCUAUCUUUUCUCAUCAUAUAUAUGGUUAUAGCUGGUUAUCUUUGGCUUAGGAGACAAUACCAGAUUGGAAAUUGAAAAACAUUUAAGAAGUAAACCUAAAAUGAGAGAAGUUUUGAAUAUAAGUGAUCUAACAUAGAUGCAACUUGAAUAUGUCUUUUGUUUAUGGCAGAGCAAUUAGAUUUUUCCACAACUUGGUACAAGUUAAAAUCAUUUAUUGCAUUGUAGAUUUGAUCAUUAUUGUUCCAAUGCUUACGAUUAAAAAACAUCGCCUAGCUAUAGCACGUUAGCAAUGGCGAGGGAUGAUACCUAUUCAUUGCACCAAGGGGUGCUGUUUAUGGCUGUAAACUGGUAGGAUCUGAAGUCACAGUUCGAAUAUUGCUGCCCUGUUCGGAUCACCCACUGGGCAGAUUUUUGAAUUGUCAGUGAAUAGACCCUUAAUUGGGACAUCCUCCCCCUGGAUUCUGAAUUGGAUGGUGGAACAGUAGUGACUCCACAUCGGGGUCUAUGCUACCUGGUUGGAAUUAGUCUAUAGAUCUGCCAUCACUUUGCUUAUAGUUGCUUUGACGACGGAUUUGAUAAUCGCUAACUAAAACUAUCUUGGCAAAGGGCUUAUCAUGGUGCUUUGUCAAACUGGCUUAGGUUAAUUGUCAGUUGUAAAGUUUAGGGAGCUAGUGGGAAAUAUUUGCAGUGAGGGAGUUUUUGGAUGCUAAUUCUAAGCUUACUUUGUAGUUCUUAUGUUUUGCUAUCGGUAAUAUUCUGGCCAUGCUAGACAACAUCCUAAAGUAUUGGUACUAUUCGAUACAAGUAAUUUAUUUGGAGGUUAAGUGUGCAAUUACUUGUUUAUGGGUAGCUUUGGACCUCUGUGCGGUUGAUUGUAUGACAUGCAUGGUUGAUCUUUAGUUUCAUUUGAGGCAAUUCAGAGAUCUAAACGUAUUGUCUUCUGAUAUGUUCACCUUUCCUACAUGCAGAAACACAGGCGAGCCAGGGCACUUUCUCGAUUUUCGCAGUUCAUUAGUACAGGAAAUCAUUCUGAGGUAAUUCUUAUAUGCUCUAUACUGCAUCACAUCCUACCAUUUUCCUGCAUUUGCAUGACUUUAUUUUCUUUGCUGCUGUUGCCUUCCAGGUUGUUAGCACCAAAGUGUUUAUCCCACUCUUUUUCAAUUUGUUAUUUGGUGUACAAGAGGGGAAGGGUGAAAAUGUCAGAAGUGCAUGUAUGGAGGCUAUUGCAUCAAUUGCUGGUUGCAUGACCUGGAAACAGUACUAUGAACUAUUAAUGAACUGCUUUCGAGAAAUGACUAAACGAGAGAAGCAGAAGGUCAUAUUGCGAUUAAUAUGCUGUAUUCUGGACCACUUUCACUUCUCUGAAACUCCUGCAGAGGGUGUUCUUCGUGCCGAAGCUUUUGAGAGAAUAUCUUCUAGAGAAUUGAGGAGAUGCACACAGCCAGCUAAAUUUUCUGAUAUGCAGACGUGUAUUCAGAAGACAAUGCUUCCCAAGAUACAAGAAUUGCUAUCUGAUUCUGAUAAUGUGAAUGUGAACAUCAGUCUAGUUGCCCUUAAGUUACUCAAAUUACUUCCUGGUGAAAUUAUGAAUUUGCAACUUCCAAAUAUUGUUCAUCGCAUCUCCAACUUCCUUAAGCAUCGCUUGGAGAGUGUUCGAGAUGAGGCUAGAUUGGCUUUGGCUGCUUGUUUAAAGGAGCUAGGGUUGGAGCACCUACAAUUCAUGGUCAAAGUCUUGAGGGGCACCCUCAAAAGGGGAUCUGAAUUGCACACACUUGGUUAUACCCUGAAUUUUAUAUUGUCAAAGUUUCUUAUCAAUCCCAUUAGGGGGAAGUUGGAUUCUUGUCUUGAAGAUCUUUUUUCGGUGAUAGAGAUUGAUAUACUUGGAGAUGUUUCUGAGCAGAAAGAGGUGGACAAAAUUGCUUCAAAAAUGAAGGAGACUCGGAAGCAGAAGUCAUUUGAAACCCUCAAAUUGGUUGCGCAAAACAUCACAUUUAGAACCCAUGCUGUGAAGCUCCUUUCUCUUGUUACAGCUCAUCUACAGAAGCAGCUAUCUCCAAAACAGAAAUCGAAAUUGGAGAAUAUGUUGAAUCACAUUGCUGAUGGAAUUCAGUCUAAUGCGUCUGUAGAUCAAACUGAACUGUUUAUAUUUGUAUAUCGCCUCAUUAAGGAUGGCAUAGAUGAUGUAAAUCAUGAACGCAAACACGUAUAUAUGUCAGAGGCAGGGAAAGGAGACUGUGAUUUGGUGGAUAGUCAAAUGAUUAAUUCAGACAGGUUAAUAAAUCUUGAGCCCAGAUAUUCUCACUUAAUUACUGGUUUUGCACUUGGAUUAUUGCAAAAUCACAUUAAGGGCAUGAAACUGAACAGAAAAGACGAGGAGCAGCUGUCACUGUUAGACCCUUUGGUUCACUUGUUGGGUGAUUGCUUGAGUUCAAAAUACGAGAACAUUGUGACGACAGCACUCAGAUGCCUUUCUCCUCUGGUACGAUUACCUCUGCCCUCCCUUGAAUCCCAGUCUGACAAGAUAAAGAAUUCUUUAUUGUUUAUUGCUCAACAUUCAGCAAAUGCUGGCAGUCCUUUGGUGGAGUCUUGUUUGAGGCUGUUGACUGUGCUUCUUCAUAGCACUGGUGUUACACUUUCAGCAGAUCAGUUGCACAUGUUAAUUCAGUUUCCUUUAUUUGUUGACAUAGAAAGAAAUCCAUCUAUUGUGUCCCUUUCCCUUCUAAAAUCAAUAGUGAAUAGGAAGCUGGUAGUUCCUGAGAUAUAUGAUGUCGUCAAGAGGGUUGCAGAGCUGAUGAUAACCAGCCAAGUGGAAUCAAUACGUAAGAAAUGUAGUCAAAUUUUACUCCAAUUUUUGCUUGACUAUCAUCUGUCAGAGAAACGCUUGCAGCAGCAUCUUGAUUUCUUUCUUGCGAAUCUCAGGCAAGUUUAUUGAAUUCUUGUAGUGUUUGUGGCAGAGUCAUUUGUUGUUGGAGUUGUUACCCUGUUAUGACUUCUCAUACGGAUAUUUUGUGUUGGAUGCAGAUAUGAACAUUCUUCUGGAAGAGAAGCUGUACUUGAAAUGCUGCAUGCCAUUAUAAUGAAGUUUCCAGCAAGUAUUCUUGAUGAGCAGUCACAGACGAUAUUUGUGCAUCUGGUGGUUUGUUUGGCUAAUGACCAUGACAACAAAGUCCGUUCCAUGACUGGUGCUUCUAUAAAGCUGCUUAUUGGGCGUGUCAGUUCUCGCUCAGUUAAAUCCAUUAUUGAGUAUAGUGUCUCCUGGUAUGUGGGUGAAAAACAGCAUCUAUGGAGUACUGCAGCACAGGGAAAGUUGUGGACUCUGUUCUAUAGGUGAAGUUUUUUUUUUUUUUUGUGCUAUCAGGAAUUAUGAGUCUGUUUAAAGGAGAAAUGUCACUGAUGUGGAGAUGGGAUAAAGUUAUGAGAAUGAGAAAACCUCAGUGGAAAUAUAUGGAUACUUAGUUGAAAUACCUUUAGUUGGUUCCAUCUGCUGACUAGUGGCGGAGCCAGAAAAUUUUCAGUUGGGGCACAAUGAAAACAAAGCUCUGCAAAUAGUAUUGGGCAAUAAUAAAUACACAUAGUAAGAAAUAUGAAGUAGCGGCAUCCAUUAUUAUUAAAAAUGAUAAGGGGGUGUAAGGAACCUACUAAAGUAGAACACGAAUUUUUUCUGUAUUAAAAAAAAUCACCAGUAAGGAGUAAACUAAACUAUUAAUUUAUUGAGGUAGUAUUUGAAACAUCUUUAAAGCGAUGGAUUACGUGUGGUACUUGAUUCUUUUAUUAAAAAUGUUACCAGAUCAAAUAUAGGUACAUAUUUAUAUUAAUAUUUUUUAUCAAUAUCAAGGUAGAAAGAAAUUCUUUUACAACACAACAUUUGAAUUGUACAUUUUCUUUUUGUGAGUGGGGCAUAUUAACAAAUUAAUUGGGUAAAAAAAAGUUUCUUGAAAAUUCUAUGCAUAGAAAUGAAAAUUUAUGAGAUAUCUUAAAAAGCUCAGAUUUUAAGAGUAGAGUAUCCAAUAUGUCUCCCAUAUAGAUCUCUAAUCUAGCCGCUCUGAUACCAACUGUGACGCCCCUACUUCUCCCUAAGGCGAACCAAAGGGUAUCCGCGGGACGCCUGCCUAACUCUCGCCAGGACUCAAGCAAUUCCAUUUAAACUUAUUGCCGACGACACACCAUACGAGUCAAUAACUUAGAUACAAUAAAUGCGGAAGCGUUCAAGUUUAAUAAAAAUCAUCUAUCUGAUAUCCAACGCGCACAUCGGGUGUUCAACAACCAUCAUAUAUCCCAAAUAUAUAUCAUGCUCCAAAAGUUACAUUCGAAUUCCAAAAUACAACCCAAAAUUCAAGACAAAGUCAAAAGUAAUAGAAACCCUGAACAAAAGCGUAGCAAGAAGGUUUCUUCGAUACCUCGCCAAGUUCAAUCCUUUUAAGGAAAACAAAUCUACAGAGUGAGCAAAAACGCUCGUGAGGCCAAGAACACACAUACAAGCACAUUGCUCAAAUAACAAUCUCAAUUUACAAGUCAAACAAUCAUAUUUUAGUAAUUAACAAUUUACUGAAAUAUAACCAAAAACAAUUUAAGGAUACUGGAGCCCUCAGGAGCUAUAUUCCACUUGCACAUUCAAUAACCUCCACGAAUUGACACUCCGUCAAUCGGGUAGGUUUAGUCCGUAGAACUUCACUUAACCUGUCCCCUUUCACCUUAUAUACCCCUGUAUCGGGCCCGCCUGUCAUUUGUUUGUGGCGAUACUACUCGAGUAUGCCAAACAAGACCUCUCACUAGGUCAAAUUUAUAUAUCUCAUGGCUCACCAAGGUUCCCGACCAAGCCCAUGCCUGCUCGAGUUCAAGGUCGGUCAAUAAAAUUUGGGCGUCCCCAUGUGCACUUGUGUGUCGAGGAGAUUCACUCCAACGACGUAGGCAACUAUAGCAUACCAUUACAUUUCAUUCAUUCAUUCAAUACAUUUCAAUCAUUCAUUCAAUGCAUUUCAAUCAUUCAUUCAAUACAUUUCAACCAUUAAUAUUUCAUUUCUAAUGAGAACGAGUGUGGUAAAGUACACACUCGACUCCACUUUCAAGAUUUCCAAUCAUUAAUAACAAUUAAACAUGUAACAAGUUUACAUACACCUGACACUCAUCAAGUAUUAGGUGUAAGUAAGGUCAAGGAAAGUUCAAGCGUCCACCGUGGGAUCCUCUUGAAAGUUCCUCGUGUGCACCUGAGCAAAUAAUAAUGAAUUAUCAUUCAAAUCCCAAAUAUCGAGGAAUAAUUCGUUCACUAGUAUUAAUCUAGGGGAUUCCGUGAAAAUGAAUCUCAAUUACUCGUAAAUCGAGAUCGAGAGGGGUUUGAUAACAUUCAAAAGUAUUUAAGCUUUAUCUAGGAAAUCGGGGAUAAAAUGUUUAGAUAAUAUCAAAAGAAUAAAGAGUUCUUGAAAAACUCUAUUUCCUUGAAAGUUGAAAAAUUUCAGUUUUGUUAUGAAUUUUUGAAAAAUCGUAACUCACUCGGCAUAAGUCGAGAAUUGGAAAACUUUAUAUCGUUGGAAAUCUCUUAGAAAGUACUACAAGUUCUUAGAAGACGCUUUUCCAUGAAUCGAAAUGGAAAGUGCUCAAAAAUGAGCUUAAAGUUGCUGUUCCAAAUCACCCAAAAUUGAGCAGGGGUUGAUUUUUCGCUAACUUUGAAAAUUCGAGAAUUUACUCGUUGCAAACCAGUCCUUGAAAUUUAUAACUCAAUUAGAGGUGCAAGUAAGGUUUAGGACAGAACAAGCGGAUCGAGAAUCGGAGUUUCGAGUACUAAGAUAUGGUAGCUCAAAGUUGGGUAAAUUUCAAGACUGUUAACAAAAUUUCCAGAUUUGGUUCCGACUUUUGACCUUUAGUUAAGUGUUGAAAUGGACUUCGAUUGAUACCAAAUUUGCAGUAUAAUACUCCUAUAUGAAGGGUAUCUAUCUAUCAAAUUUCGUGGAAAAAUACCUUCGGAAAUGUGGUUAACCAAUCAAUCAAAGUUUGAAAUUACUAAGGCCAAACUGCCUUUAGCUCUCUUUCUCUUCGUUUCCAAACAUUCGGCUAAGGAAAACCUCCAACCAUGGUUCAUUUGUGCAAGAAAAGUCUAAGGAGUAUACAUGGUACAUUUGGUAGGUGUUUAGCACCAAAAAUUCAUUUGGUAAGGCCACAACAAAUCUCACAUCUAAUCUGUCCAAAUCUAAGGUUUUCAAGAACAAGGCAGUCACCGUAUUUUGAUCAUAACUCAUUCAAUUUAACUUGGAUUUGGGCAUGGUUGAUACUGUUAGAAAAUACAUUCAUAGGGCUAAAAUUUCACAGAAGAAAUCAUUUUAAGUUUCAGCAUGCAACUGGCUCGAAAUUAAGCCUAGAGUUGCAGCAUCAUCAAAUCAUUUCGGCAGAACGGAGAAACAGGGCAACUGAAUUCAGAAGAGUGGUGCGGUUCACACACACGGAACCAGAACAUGCAUUAUAUACUGUUGGAAAGAUGGGUAUGUCUAGUUUCAAAUGCCACUAACGACACUUGAUUUCGACGUCGGAGUACGGAGUUAUGGACGAAAUACGAACACUGGUUUGGUUACGACGGCAACCGUUUCCAGAUUACCAACUUUGGGAAAUAAAUUCUUUUGAUCAACCAAAACUCAACAUUUUUCAAUGAAAAUUUGUACACAACUUCUACAACAUGUAAACAACACAAUCAAGCCAUUAAAUCUUCAAAUUUCUGCAUUAAAGUGGCCGAACAAAGCAGGGACAAAAUGGUCAGAUUUGGCCUUUGCACCCAACGUGAGUUUCCAACAAUUUUCCUUCAACAAACCACUAACUUAAACACUAAUCCGACAUUAUAAAUAUCAUCAAGUACAAAAUCAGCAACAACCCAAGAGUGGGAAUUCAUAGAGUCCACUUUUCCAAUUUCUCCAACAUCAACCACAACCCAUAUGCAAAUUCAAGCUUAUAAGUGUAAUUUAACUUCCAUAGGACAAGUUUAAGGUAUUAGAUCAUUACCUACUUUGAUGGUUGGUCAAGACAGAAGUUUCAGCCCUUUGAAGCUUGAAGAAAACCGUGGAUAGCUCCUUCCUUUUGCAGCUAAAUGGACUUCCCAAGUGUUGAGGUAGAUGUAGUUGAAUUUUUAAGAGAGUUUGGUAGAUUGAGUAAGAUUUGUAGAAGGAAUGUUGAAAGUUUUUGGUUGUUUCUUUGCAGCUGCUAGCUGUCCAAGGAGCUUGAAGAAAGGAAAUAGUUUGCUGAUCCUUUGGCGUAUAAGGAACGCUACUCGUGUAAUAUUUUAAAUACGUAAAAAUCAAUUGCAACUAAUGCGCCUACGCGCGCAUUUGUGUUCGAUUUUUUUAAGUUUGUUGCACUAGUGCACUAAAUCUUUAGGGCACUUACAUUCAUAUAAAUAUUAUUCAUUCUUAAUUGUCCCAAAAUAAUUGUCCAAAGUCCCUCAAUUAAGCGCGCACGUGAAAACACGUAUUUCCAAUGUAGGCGCAAUAAAAUGAAACUUUCGAGAAAUUCUUAUAACAAUCGUACUACCAACUAUCACUUGAGUUUUUAAACCUAAAAUUGCCUAUUUUAGAAUCAUUGUAUAUAUCUCAAAAUUUUGAGCUUAUUGCACUUCCAAUUGGCUAAAGUGUUUAGACACGUUCACACUUUUUUUUUUCUAAUCAAGCUUUUAAGAAAAUAAAUUUUUUGAAAUGAGACACUUUAAAAAUAUAACGAAACUAUAAAACCAUGUACUUAGAUCUAAUAAGGUUAGAAAAUAUUAUUCGUGGCAAAAAUCCAAAUAAAUAAUUAAUUUAGCCAAAAUUAGGGAUUUUAAAAAUAAUAGAAUUUUCGAGUCCUCAUAAUUAGGAUACGGAUACGGAUCAUAAAAAUAAAAACCCGUGGGCACCCGAAUCGGGGGUAUAAUACAUAAAUAUUAAAAAUAUAAGGGUAAUUGUAUAAUAUUGUUAACUUAUUAAUCCUAACCUAAAAUGAAUCCAUCAGGCUACUUCAGAUUCAGCCGACAGUCUGUUCACUUUCUCCUUUUUCUCGACGACUCCUUUCUCCAUCUCUUCAAUUUUGUUGAAAUCAAAGAAAGUUGCAAAAGAUUCUCAAAACUCAAGGCUCAAGGCUCAAGCAGAAGAUUCAAUAGAGACCUUCGAUUUUGAUUUCUCAAGCCUCAAGCUUCGUGUAGAACGCCGACCUUCGCAGGUCUGUUUUUUUGUUUUUUUUAGAACGCCGACCUGCCUGAUGUCGAACUUUUCUGCUGUAAAUUUAACCUGCCUGAUGUAGUCAUUUAACAUUGAAAAGCGAUUUGGCUUGUACUUUCCUUUUAGUUUUCUGGUCUUUCAUUUCCCUUGUAUUAUAUUAGCCUAGAACAAGUCUGGUUCUAAAUGGGAAAUGAAGCAUUGAUAAAUCUUGGGUUAAAUUGACAUUCCAAAAGCUGUCAAUUUAGAUGCAACAGUUGAAUUAACACUCUCGAAAGUACCAUUUUUGUUUCUGUUUUUCAAAUGUUUAAACUUUUUAAGGAACAAAAGUGGCCGUAUCUUUUGAGUCCAACGGUUGAAUAUGUAUGUCUUGUUCCGUUGUUUGUAGGGGUGAGCAGAUUCGGUUCGUACCGAAUUCAUAACCGAUUUCAAAUUCAAUUCGGUAAUUUGAAAUCGGGUAUUUGGUAAUUUGGUUCCAAUUCGGUGCAUACCAAAUUCACCGAAUUCUAAUAUGGUAUAAAAUAGGUAAUGAGAUUAUGAAUUUGGUAAUAAUCGAUUUCGAAUUCAAAAUUUGGUAAUUGAAAUCGGGUACCGCAUUACCGCAUUCGAAUACCAAAUUAAUAUAUAAAAUUAUAUAAUAUAUAGAUAAAUGCUAUUUAGUAUUAGUAUAUACUACUAAUACUUUAUUAUAUUAUAUAAGUAAAUGUUAUUAAUAAUAAUUAGUAUAUGGUAUUAUCAUCAUAUCAUGUACUUAUAAUACUAAUAAUAUAUAAUGAUGUACAAUAUAUUUAUAUUAUUUUAGUAUUUAUUAAUUGUUAUACCAUUACAAUAAUGCAUAGUAAUACAUUACAAUAUAAGAUAACUAUAAUACUUAUUAUUUUAUACAUGAGUAACAUGACUAGAAUUAGAUAAUAAUUAAUACAUAUAUGUAUCAUACUAAAUAUUAAAUAAUAAACAUAAUUAGUAAUUAGAAUUUAGAUAUUGGUAAUUUGAUACAUCAUUCAUGUUUGAAUUAUUGAAUAUUUGAAUGCGUAAUCUAUAACUUGCAAGUAUUAGUGUACUCUAAAUUUACAUUACAUAUUCACUAAUCUUUAAGGUUUUAAAUAUAGAUAAGACAACUAAGUAGUGUAAGUGAAUGUAUAUGAAUUACAAAUCAAUGUAUUAGUGUAUUGACUUUCACAAUAACAUAUGUAAAUAAAUAAGUUUAAUUUUGAUUUGAAAUAAAUUGUAAGUUUGUAACUAACAUAACUUAUCACUAAUCAUUGUAAUUUGUAAGUUUGUAACUAAUAUUACUUAUUAUUAAUCAUUGUAAAUUAUAAAUUCAUAAAUUAUUACUAACCAUUGUACAGUCUAAGGUUUAUUCUAGUUUUAUUACUAACCAUUGUACAGUCUAAGGUUUAUUCUAGUUUAAAUUAAUCACUUUUUAUGUGUUCCUUAAAUCAUAAACUAAGGAUUGUAGGUAUAAGUGAUCAAAUAAGUUAAAAGUUUAUAUUAUUUAUUUACUAAUCUUAAGGCUUUAAGUAUAGACAAAAUAACUAAACAGUGUAAGUGAAUACAUGUGAGUUGCAAAUCAAGUAAAUAAGUUUUAUUUUGAUUUAAAAUAAGUUAUAAGUUUGUAACUAAUGUAAUUUAUCACUGGUCAUUGAUUCAUUGUAAUUUGUAAGUUUGUAACUAAUAUUACUUAUUAUUAAUCAUUGUAAAUUAUAAAUUCAUUGUAACUACUAACUAAAUUAAUUUAAAUUAAUCACUUUUUAUGUGUUUUUUAAAUCAUAUACCAAGGAUUUUAGGUAUAAGUGAUCAAAUAAAUGCCAAUUAAACCACAAAAUGAUUUGAACAUAAGUAAUGUGUUCAAUUAUGAAUAAAUUUGGGGAUCAAAUUAGUAAUAAUUUUUAAAUCAUUGAGGAGCAUAAUGAAUGUAUUAUAAUUUAGGAGCCCCAAUUUGUAAAUUAAAAAUUACAAAAUCACUUCAUUCGGAAAAAGUCGGAUUUCAUCUUCAGCUGAUGAAAAUUGAAAAGUGAGAAAACAACCAUUGCAAAUUUGCAAUAUUGCAUAGUGCCGUGACUGCCGUCACCUAGGGCUUUCACAGCACUAACACUCCCAAGUCCCAAGUCCCAAUUCCCAAAUCGAAGCUGCUCUCUGCCUCUCCGGCCUCCGCCAGUCCGCCGCGCUCUACGUCUCCUGUCGGCUGUGUCCUGCCGUGCUGGUUCAUCGCUGCCGAGUGUCGAAGACGAAGCACCAAGAUCUCACUAGUUCAUCGCUGGUUCAUCACUGCUCAUCUCUGGCUCACUUAGGUAAGUGCUCCUCUGUUUUUGGCUCUGUGUCUCUGGCAUUAAAAUGGGCCAAGAUCGACUAGGAAAUUUGUUAUCCUGAAUUGAUAAGGGGACGAAAUCUGAGCUUCCAAUUGCAAACUCUAACUGUUGUAGUAGUUUAGAUUAGGUGUGAUAUAACAUAAGCUUUGUAUUUUAUACACAAGAAGCUCUCUCCAGUUGUGCAGCCUUUAAAAGGUAAGGCCUUGGGGAAAAAUUCCACCUUUUACCCGUUAGAAAAAUUAAAAAGGAAAAAACUUGCUAAAAUGAAAAUUUUACCUCCUUUUCCGUGGAGAUUCUCAAUCUCUGGUGCACAUCUAGUGAAAGUACGGCUCCAGAAGUUGUACCUAGGAUUCUGGAUAUGAAUUUUCUGCAAUGUGAAAGAGAAACAUCUAAUGGCUUGCGGGGGUUGGUAGUUGCUGAACUAUAAAGAUUGGUUUAUAUAUUCUCUUAAUUUGCUUCAGGUUUUUUUUAAAUAAUAGAUGAAUUCGGUCUAACCGAAUUCAGACCGAAUUCAUUACCGUUUUCGAAUUUGAAAUCGGGUACCGCAUGAAUUCGGUAAUGCCCUGCAAUAACCGAAAAAACCGAAUUCAGCGCACCGAUUUACCGCAUUUGCACCGAAUGCUCACCCCGAGUUGUUUGUUGUCAUUCGUGUGUUAAAGAGGCUAAAAGGCUCUGGCAGUCCAGCAAUUCCAAUAUAUUGCCGUGCGAAAAUAGCAUUCUCUGCCUAAUGGAUACGGUCCAUAAAAGGUAGGAAAUGAAAGUUUAAACUCCACUUACCAUCCAUAGUUGUUGGUGAACUAUUAGAGCUAGUUAAUGAUCUGUGAUUAAUUGAUUAUUAAAUCAUGAAUGUCUUUGGCUGGACGUACGGCAGGUUCAUCUUAUGAAUUUGCAUUCAUACAGGAAUUUGCAUUCUUUAAAUAGGGGCGGGUACCCUAUGACCCGCCCCUAUUUUUCGGGUAUCUGAAGAUCAGGUACCAUACCCGAGGACAAGCGGAGCGGAUUAGGAUCAAAAAAAUAGUAACCCGACAUAUUAGGGUCGGGUCAGCCAUUUACCAUUAGGGGCGGAUACCCGACUCGUGCCCACCCCUACUUAUGUUAAUUUUGGUUUAGCAUUUAUAUCUUAUUCUGUGCAUAGGUGUGUGUGUGUCUAUAUAUAUAUAUAAUUAUUUAUUUAUUUAUUUAUUGAAUCGGGGUUGAACCGGUCCUACCGGUUGAACCUCGACUCUUUCACUUCACCGGUUCAAUUGUUAAACCCUCCCCCCUUCUCCCUCCCUUUUCCAGAGAUUGAGCUUGGGUAGAUGCACCAAUGGCGACGCCCGCGGACGCUCGAGCCGUAAAGUCUCUAAACACAGGCGAGGGAAGCAAGAAAUUUGUUGUAAGCUAUCUAUCUUUCUUAAUUUUUUGUAUGCAAAUAAAAAAUUGCAGUUCUUUUUAUUCAAAUUGUUCAUUUUUUUUCCUUAUUGGUUGAUGAGAGUAUUAUGGAAUUGUUUUUUUUUUUAAAUUCUGAAGUUUUUUUUUUGGGGUGGUGCAGUACAAGUCCAAUGUUCAACAAAUUGCAGAGAUUGAUAUUAAUGUAUACCGAAGUUUGGACCCUGUUAAAUCUGAGCCUUUUGAAGGGUCCACGUUUUUUCGCGAUUGCCUAGUUGAAUGGAGAGUAUGUUUCAAUAUUCUUCUAUUUCUGAAGUAAUUGUGAUUUGAAUUGUAGUUUUUUUUUUGGUGUAACUUGUGCAGCUAUUUCUCAAGGGUUCUUAUUGCGGAUAUCAGUACAUUUUUUGGCUGUUCUUUUACGAUAAAGAUUUCAUUUUUAGACGACAAGUAGGAAACAUUAAAGUAAUAUGAGACAUAUUUUAUUGGAUUUUGGAAUUUGAUGGUCUGCACAUCGGGAGAAACUGCUAAGCUUACAUGAAAAGUGGGUAGCAUUUCAAGAAAAGCUUUUUCAUCUGCUUUGUUCCGACUUAUUUGGUUUUAAACAUCAGUUAUAGGUGCCUGCUUAUGUUUUUAAAGGAUUCAGGAAGCCAUUUGUGCAAUAUAAGCAAUACAUGGAAUCUAGUUGUGGCUUUCUUUUUUUCUGCCAUAUAUCUUUCAAAAAGUUCAUUUUUUAUUCAGAAGCUAGAAAAUUAUUUUUAUUUUAAGUGUGUUAGUUUGGGAAUUUCAAUUGGUAAGGGGGAUUUUUCAGGGGGUUUUGCGGUGCUGGACAAUGUGCUUUGGAGAUGUUGAUUUUGCUGUGUAGAAUCUUGGUGGUUUUGAUGUAACAGUGACUAGAUGAGGAUGACGCUUCUGGCUUUGUGGACUAAUCUACUGGCAUAUACAGGCAGAUUAGUUUUAGUAGUUUUGGCACUGUCUUUAAUCUACAAAGUUAAUGUGAAAUAAAUGAAGGUGUGGUCCAUAUCUUGCUUGAGGUAGGAGGAGUAAAUCAAUGGCAUCCUUUUGACGUAGGAAGUGCUAUUACUUCUAAUGCACCAAAGAAUGUUUUCAAGGCAAAGGAGUUUGUGUUAGGAUAAGUAAUUUAUGAAGGUGACAUGAUCAGAAUCAUGUUUAGUGAGGGUUGUUUUGAAUAUUUUCUGGAAGUUCUUGUUUUCUUCCUUUGGUAUUUUUGCCUAGGCAGGAAGGUCUAAAGAAGAUUCUUGGCAUUGUUCCAUAUUGGUUUUCAGCCUCUAUGUUACUGUGCUGGAAACUAUCCACAAGGUUAUGGAUCUAAUGUAUGGCAUGGUUGGUCUGUCUGCUUCUGUCUGGGUGUACUUGUCAGGAAUUUAUUAUGUGUCUUGGAUAUUUCUAGAUUGCUGUUUGUUUUGUCCUUUCUAUCCAACUUCAUAUGAUUAUACCUUUUUGAGAGAGCAAAAAUUUGUACACUUCCAUCUCACAUUUAAAUUCUGCUGAUAUUGUUGUCUUUUUUUUUUUGACAAAUGCAGGAAUUAAAUACUGCUGAGGAUUUUAUUUCAUUUUAUCAAGAAAUGUUCCCCUUGGUACAAACCCUACCACAAAUUAUAUUGCAAAAGGAAUUGAUCGUUUCAAAACUGCUUUCUAGAUUACAAAUAAAAAGCAGGCUAUCACUGGAGCCAAUACUCAGGUAUUCUUGCAAAUUUGGUGUUUAUGUAUGUUUUUGAAGAAUUGUCUCAUCGAGAUUGGAAAAUGGUGGAAAGGAAAAACAAAUCAAUGCUCAAGGCCUUUUUCUUUUUUGGUUCUUUAAUAUUAUUAGCGUUUCCUGUUGUUUUAACUUGGAUCAUUGUAGGCAUAUGUUCUCGAUAUUGGAACUAAAAUUUUUCGAGUGAAGAUUUAUUCUGAAUAUAUACCUUUUAGAACUACACUAAUGUAGUUGUAGAGGCCUGAGUUAGUGAAAUGGGUUUAAUCACAUCCUGAAUCAUAUCUCGGAUGCAAAAGCAAGCACUUGUGGAUUUUCUAGUUUUCUAGUUUAUUUCAUUUCUUAUUUAAUUGCAACGUGUUCAACUCUCACCUCAGUAAACUGUAAAGGUGGAUGGCUGGUUUGCCAUGGAAGUUUUUGACAUAAAGUAUUGUUUAGUUACAGAUUGUCAUUCUCCUAAUUAAGUGUGUAUUGAUUCCCUUGCGGUUUAUUGUUAAACAUUGCUGGGUGCAUAUGUGGCUUUUCUGUUUCUGGCAGGUUGGUAGCCACAUUAUCAAGGGAUCUUCUGGAGGAUUUUUUGCCGUAAGUUCCAUAUAUGUUAUCUGAGGCUUUCAUGUUUUUUAAGUUUCUCUUUCCUGACAGUUUACUAUGCUUGUAGUGAGAUCCAUAUGUAUAUUUGUGGAGGUUUUCCUGUUGCCUUUCUUUCAGUAUUUGGGAUUUUCAGAAUCUGAGAAUGAGAGAUCAAUAAUUAUGGCUAGUGUCACUUCUCGCGUGACAUAGCCCAAAGCAAGAGAAAAGAAUAAGGAAAACAGAAUUUAGCAUAAUAUUUUAGUGCUAUGAGAAGGAAAUAUAUAAGAGUCACAUUUUGUAUUAAACAAGACUUAGUGAAACGCAUUGUACUUUAUAGAUUUCCAACUGUAUAGGGUUAGAUAAAGAAAAUUUUCCUCCCAAAAAUUGAAUCCAAUGGGUCCCUCAAUCAGUUCCAGGUCAGCUAAGAGAAGAACAUGAUGAGAAUCAAUCCCUGAAAAAAACUAAAAACCUACAUUGCUACAGUAAUGGCAGAUACAGAUUCAUCAACCUUAACUCAUAGAUACCAACUAAUUUUUCUUCUGCAUCACAUUACCGUCUUAUGUUCAUUUUUUUCAAGUGCUUGAGAAAUCUUUUGGCUUACACUCCUGUGUUGCAGUAUGUGCGUGAUGGAGUUCAUGAGCUCUGCAUGCAGAUUGCAAAAAUUGUAAUGAAUUUGCUGUUACCCAAGUUUUCCUCCGCUUAACAUUUAAGGCAAUUUUUGUUAGCAGUUAGAGUUUCCCAAUUAGCUCUCUUUUGCUCCUUUCUGGCAUUUUUUUUGGCACUGGGGUUCCUGGGGCCAUGUAGAAAUAUGGACAACUCAUGCUUGUACGUUUAUUAAUUUAACAAUUUUAACUUGUAUGCUGGCUCCUGUUGUGCAUGUUUGUCUUUGUUAGAAGUGCAUGAUAUUCAGUGACUGGACCAGUGGUAAUUCUUAAUUCCUACCCUUUCGCAGCAAUAUUGUCUUCUAAGUCACUCCUAAUGCGUCCUUUUUUUGUGGGUGUUUCCUUGACUGUGUCCCAGCUUUCUCCAGAGGAUUGUGAAUGCUAUAGUAUUUCUUCUGAAAAAUGGUGGUGAUAAGGAUCCAGACAUAAUUAAGCAGGUCAAGCCAAGUAUCUUGUUGUGUUAUUUUGUUUUGAAUUCUGAUGCAAUAUCUAAUUCGGAAUACUAGAUGCUGAAAUUGUGAAUUUGGCUUCCUCAGAUUUUUACGUCAUGGUCAUACAUUAUGAUGUUCCUGCAGAAAUAUCUGAUAAAGGAUGUCAUUCAUGUGCUAAAGUAAGUACAUAUGAUGGAAGUUGCUUUUAUCCAUGUUUAUAUGUGUGUGCAUGUAUGUUAAGUGUUUUAUUGGAUGUAAGGAGAAUAUGAAUGCCAAAUUUUGGUUUUAAAUUGCUUCUUAAACAACUUCGUUUGAUUUCUUGAGUAUUUCUCAACAAAGUAUAGAAAACUGAGGUUAAUUGUUCUUGUACUACCUAUUGCUGCCACAAAUCUAUAGAAAUCCACUUAUAUCUGAGAGAAUACAGUAAACUCAAACAUGGGUUGGAAGUAAAUCUAUGGAAAUCAAGAAGCUUGACUGGCUUUGUUGAUUUAUUGGUGCACAUUCAGUGUGUCUUCCCUGUUGUAUUUAUCAUGUAAAUGGUUUGAUUUGUAGAAAAAUUCCUCGAACUAUACUUUAAAUUCUAAUGUUUCUUCUCUCUCUCUCUCUCUCUCGCUUGCUCUAUCUGUCUGUGUAUAACAGAGUAACAGUGAAACUGAGAUACUAUCCACAUGGUAGCAUACAAAAAUUUGUGGCGGAGUCCGUCUCUUUCUUACUCAGGAAUGCACCUGUUGAGCAGCUUAUAAAAGGUAUUGUCUUUAAUUAUUAUGUUAAAAGAGUUAUCAGUUUUUUGACUUGGCCAGGUUCAGUAGUUUUGUAGAUAUACAAUUUAAAAGUGAAAAUCUAUAGUCUAACUGAUACAAAUAUUCUUGUUGGAAAUAUGCAUGUACUGGCUUGUGUUGUUCUGGAUGGAAACUUUGAGCUGCACUUUCCAGUUACAAAUCAAGCAAAUGCCAUGUUUCUGUACGUUUUCUACAUUGGAAAAGAAAGGUACUAGAGUGAUGUUUUAGGAAAGGUGAACGUGAUUUUAUAUGUCCCAGUAUAGUAGGUUUGACAAGGUUAUUGAAUGGGGAGGGUAUAAAUUUAUAAGAACAACUUCUUCUAAGAAUGUUAUUGUGGAACUAUCUUAAGUCUGAUCUGUUCUUUUUUUUUUUUUUGGGGUAUCUAGGGUGUAUUUUAUGAAAAGUCGACGCAGAACUGAAGUACAGGUUUAUGAAUGCAAAGGUCUUAGUGGUCAUAUAGCCAAGUGAUUAUGCACAAAAAUGUCAAUAUACCUGAAUGGCUAGUCUUUUUCUGCAAAUUACUUAUUGUGCUUCAUUCUGUUGAACUUUUGCCUUUGGGCUUACUUAAAUAGAGGAACUUGGAAUUCUCUCCUUUUUUUUAACAAAUAUGUUCCAUUGGGAAUAAGAAUGCUCUUUGCUUGAUGUGACAUCUGUUACAUUCCUUGCUUGCACGAGUAAUAGCUGAUUUUUUCCACAAGUAAUAGUCUUAUGCUUGUUUACUAAGCAUUUCUCCUGUCUAAAUAUGACGACGAUAAAUUUAUGAUUGUCGCAUACUAGAGAUUUGGAUAAGACAAACUAAAUGAAAAAUAGUUUAAAGAAUGUUGUUAUUGAGUUUUGUAUAUGACAAGGAUUAUGCUUUCAGUGUUUUUAAGGGGAUGCAUUUUUCAUGAAAUACUGGUCUUUAUAGACAUUUUUCCUUGACUUUUUUUUUGUUUCCUAAUGGAUGAAAACUACUGAGGCCAUAUGAUUUGGAUGCGUUACAAAUAUCAAAGUGCAAGAGUAUGAAAUUUUGGGAUGAUGAUUUUCGGAUGGUUAAAAACCGUUGGGAAAAAUUACUCCUUUACUAUGAGGUUGUGAACAAGCUUUUUGAUAUAAAGGUUUUAGGCUUUUCUUAGAGAAGAACCUGGAGAUUUUCUUUGUAACGUGUGUACAUGCUUAUAGACACCCUGCACAUUGAGUCCCUACCUGUCAUGAGCUUCCAUCAAAGUGUUUUGGGGAACUUGUUUAGAGCAUAUGCAGAUAUUUGUUGUGUACUAGUACUAUGAAUAGGAUUAAAUCACCCAAUCAGAAGCUGGAGUUCCUUCUUCAAAUACUUUGACAUGGCAUUUAGCUCUUGCUUAUUUAGGUCAGCCAUACUGGGUAGAAGGGGAUCUUUUUCAGAAUGCUUUGACAGAACUCGACUUGAGCCAAAUUUCACAAGAGGGAAAAGAAAAGAAAAAUAGAUACUGCAAAUCUGAAGUUUCUUACUGCUCCUACUUUUAUGAGGCUCAGUUUUUUAGGGUUGUAGUGCUUCAUCAUGGACCUUGUUGCACUGGAAGAUGCCUUCACAAGAAUUGGACAUCAUAUCGGGUAUAAGUAAAGGCUUUCCUCCUCUAUUUUCCCUGGUGGCAAGUGCUAUUCCUUUCUUCUGGAAGACACUGCUCUUUCCUUCACCUUUUUUUCUCUUCUGAUUCUCCUUCUAUACCUUGAUAUUUCACAACUACUGCACCGGUCCUCUGCUCAUCAUGCUCCACAUGCUGUCGUUUCUUCUCCGUUUUGCAUUUCCAACCCCCCCCCUCCAGCCCCAAAAAAAAAAAGGAAAAAAAUAAAUUUGAUUUACUUUGCUUCCCAUAUUGCCUGUGAUGCUUUUUUGGAACUCUGGUUGCUCAAUUAUCAUAUUCUUAACAAUAUUGAUCUUGUUUUCUCGUUCUUUGUAGGGAUGAAAAGCUUUGAUUUGUCUGUGAUGUAGAGAUUGCACUAACUUCUUAUUUCAUAAAUCAUUUGUGGCAGAAAACUACAGUUUCUUAAUGUCAUAUGCUUCCUUGCAUCAUUUAAAACUUUAGUUCCAAGGUAGACCUCAAGCUGUCCAAACAGGCCUACCAAUUUGGAUGUUAUGGUUUUGAGAAAGGAGUGACGGCAUUUGUAGGGUGAAUUGCCUGUUUUGUUGUCCUGGGGGCCAGUUUGCUUUCCAUCUCUUGGUUAGCACUUGCAAGUUUUGACAUAUAUCAGUGGAAUAGUAUUUCUCAUCUCAACAUAUGUGCCCUUCUCCUUUGUUGACUGGACUUCUGAUGAGAAAUCAAUUUCAGAAGUGGCAUAUUCAUGUCUCUAUACUUAAUGGUUCUACUUACCUAGUUGUUGAGAGCCAAACUAAUAUGAUGUUGUUACGUAUGAGUGUCUUCUGUUGGUUUUUACUCUCCAUUUACAAUAGAAAAAUAGGUUAACUUCUUAAGCUCAGCAGGUGUUAGGAA
rnacentral:lncRNA from 1 species